rnacentral:rRNA from 1 species
GGAAUUUUGGACAAUGGGCGCAAGCCUGAUCCAGCAAUGCCGCGUGCAGGAAGAAGGCCUUCGGGUUGUAAACUGCUUUUGUACGGAGCGAAACGGCUCUGGUUAAUACCCGGGGCUAAUGACGGUACCGUAAGAAUAAGCACCGGCUAACUACGUGCCAGCAGCCGCGGUAAUACGUAGGGUGCGAGCGUUAAUCGGAAUUACUGGGCGUAAAGCGUGCGCAGGCGGUUAUGUAAGACAGUUGUGAAAUCCCCGGGCUCAACCUGGGAAUUGCAUCUGUGACUGCAUAGCUAGAGUGCGGCAGAGGGGGAUGGAAUUCCGCGUGUAGCAGUGAAAUGCGUAGAUAUGCGGAGGAACACCGAUGGCGAAGGCAAUCCCCUGGGCCUGCACUGACGCUCAUGCACGAAAGCGUGGGGAGCAAACAGGAUUAGAUACCCUGGUAGUCCACGCCCUAAACGAUGUCAACUGGUUGUUGGGUGCAUUAGUACUCAGUAACGAAGCUAACGCGUGAAGUUGACCGCCUGGGGAGUACGGCCGCAAGGUUGAAACUCAAAUGAAUUGACGGA